rnacentral:rRNA from 1 species
CCUACGGGUGGCAGCAGUGAGGAAUAUUGGUCAAUGGACGAGAGUCUGAACCAGCCAAGUCGCGUGAAGGAUGACUGCCCUAUGGUUUGUAAACUUCUUUUGUAAAGGAAUAAAACGAGGCACGUGUGCCUUUUUGCAUGUACUUUAUGAAUAAGGAUCGGCUAACUCCGUGCCAGCAGCCGCGGUAAUACGGAGGGUCCGAGCGUUAUCCGGAUUUAUUGGGUUUAAAGGGAGCGUAGAUGGGAUGUUAAGUCAGUUGUGAAAGUUCGCGGCUCAACCGUAAAAUUGCAAUUGAUACUGGCAGUCUUGAGUAGAGGUGAGGUAAGCGGAAUUCGUGGUGUAGCGGUGAAAUGCUUAGAUAUCACGAAGAACCCCGAUUGCGAAGGCAGCUUACUAACCUGUAACUGACGCUGAGGCUCGAAAGCGUGGGUAUCAAACAGGAUUAGAUACCCGAGUAGUC